UUUAUUUUGAUAUUAUUUUUUAUUGUUGAAAAAAUUAAUAAUAAUUUAUUGUUAAUAAAAAUUAAAAUUUAUAAUAUUUUUAUUUUUAUUUUUUAGUUUUAAAUAAAAAAAAUAAAAUUUAUAUAUAUAAAAAUUUUGUUAUAAAUUAUAAUAGUUUAUUUAUUUGUUUUUUAUAAUAAAUAAUAGUAUUUUUUUUUAUUAUUUUAUAAAAAAAAAUAAUUUAAUUAUAAUUAUUAAAAGUAAUUUUGUUAUUUAGAAUAAUAUAUUAAUAUAAAUAACAAAAAUAUUAAAUAUUUUUUAAAUUUUUUGGGGAUUUAAGUUAUAAUUUUUUGUGUCUGCUCAGUGAAUUUAAAUAGCACUUUUAGCGUGAUUGGUCAAAGGUA
rnacentral:rRNA from 1 species